UACGUAGGGGGCAAGCGUUGUCCGGAUUUAUUGGGCGUAAAGAGCGUGUAGGCGGCCAGGUAGGUCAGCUGUGAAAACUCGAGGCUCAACCUCGAGACGUCGGUUGAAACCACCUGGCUAGAGUCCGGAAGAGGAGAGUGGAAUUCCUGGUGUAGCGGUGAAAUGCGCAGAUAUCAGGAGGAACACCGGUGGCGAAGGCGGAUCUCUGGGCCAUUACUGACGCUGAGGAGCGAAAGCGUGGGGAGCGAACAGG
rnacentral:rRNA from 1 species